GUUGCCUUUUCUCUGAGCUCCCGGCCGAAGGAAGUCCCGGAGGUGGUCCUCCAGCCUCCAGCAUUCGGAAGUCCAAUAUCUGCCCCCCUCGAACCCAUUCGGAAUUUACCCAGUGCACCGUGGCAGUUCCUUUCAGCUAAUUAGUUGGACUGGGGAUCAGCCGAAGAAGAGACUGGUUUCUUCAUAUCCGGCAUGCUAGUGCGCUCCUGCAUGGUCCUGCUCCGGGGCUUCUGAAAAUGUUCUAUAAAAACCAUAUGGAAGAUAUUCUGUGGGACCUGCUUCAAAGGUAGUCACAGACCACAGCAAACCUGGCCAAAAAGGGGCGUACUUACAGCCCAAUUCUCGGGCUACUUGAUUUGGAAAAUUCUUUACAAUAUGAACGAUCUUAGUCGUCCUAGAAAAACACUCCACAAAAAUGUAAGUUUCCAGAAAACUUACAAUUUUAAUGUAAAUCUAAUAAACGGAUCAAAGCGCAUUUGAAACAGUAUUCCCGAUCAUCCGUGGGGCCUUAUACAUCAAAGGGACUGAUUUCGGGAAUCUUUCACAUGGCUCGUGUUCCUACUCCUUACAGAUAUAGACCAUUGGUUGAAAAAGGACGAAAUCUGGUGGCCCAACACCGAAGAAGGCCGCUACCAGGCCAAGAUGCAGUGCUCGGUGCCUGUUUUUCCUGUCUUUCAAAGACUAUUGUGCUCACCAUCAGAUCGACGACAUUGAGUAGGUCGACUUCGUCGUACCAGUUAAACAUUUCGAUCAUAUAAACGUAACAACAAAGGCACAAGUAGCAGUAUAAGAGAAACCACAAAAUGAUCAUAUUGAAGACUUCAAAUUUUGAUGACCUGUAUGGCUCUGGACACUAGAUAGAUAUAGAUGUUACAUAUGAGGCAUAGAAAUAGCGAAAUUCCCAGAGUUUUUAGACUUUAAAUCUUUAAAUUAUGAUAACCAUUCUUUUGAAUUUCCCAUGCAUUCCGGCAUUGAAUAAAUUUCGCCACAAGUACCAUUGAGCAUA